GAGGGCUGUUCCCACUUGUGCCUGCUAAACUGGUAUCAGUAUGUUGAUUUAGUGCUGGCUCAGUUCAGCAGGAACAGGUGUGAAGUCCUC